AACGAACGCUGGCGGCAUGCCUAACACAUGCAAGUCGAACGAACCCUUCGGGGUUAGUGGCGCACGGGUGCGUAACGCGUGGGAAUCUGCCCUUUGCUUCGGAAUAACUCAGGGAAACUUGUGCUAAUACCGGAUGAUGUCUUCGGACCAAAGAUUUAUCGGCAAGGGAUGAGCCCGCGUAGGAUUAGGUAGUUGGUGGGGUAAAGGCCUACCAAGCCGACGAUCCUUAGCUGGUCUGAGAGGAUGAUCAGCCACACUGGGACUGAGACACGGCCCAGACUCCUACGGGAGGCGGCAGGAGGGAAUAUUGGACAAUGGGCGCAAGACUGAUCCAGCAAUGCCGCGUGAGUGAGGAAGGCCCUCGGGUCGUAAAGCUCUUUUACCAGGGAUGAUAAGGACAGUACCUGGGGAAUAAGCUCCGGGUAACUCCGUG
rnacentral:rRNA from 1 species